rnacentral:tRNA from 4 species
UCCGGUGGGGCUACUAUUGGCAGUAGCGACGAGCUGUUAACUCGUUUCCCUGUAGGUUCGAUUCCUGCCUCCGGAGCC